GUUUUUCUUUUAUUAAGGCUAACUCAGAGAAGGACCCAAGCCCUCAAAGGGCUCCUGUGACGUCUACCCCAUGCUAGGUGUUGGCUUUAUUCACAGGACUAUGUUCUUUUAAGAAGAGGAAGAGACACCAGGGAUGCAGGUGCACAGAGAAAGGACUGUGGGAAGACACGGCAGAAAGGCAGUCACCUGCAAGCCAAGGAGAGGCCUCAGCAGAAACAAGACCUGCCAGCACCUUGAUCUUGGAUGUCUUGCCUUGUUCUUGGACUCUGAGAAAUAAAUUUCUGUUG
rnacentral:lncRNA from 10 species